rnacentral:misc_RNA from 1 species
GUAGUAGAGCUCGAGACCCAUUCCAUCGUGGAUCUCAUAGUCCCUAAGAGUGAUAUGAUCCUUGUACACGGUAUACCACUUCUGUAUCCUAAUCUUCUCGGCUCUGGUGCCGGUCUGCGCCGCCACCAGUUUCUUCAGGUCGCCGAUAGUAUCAUCCUCAUUACACUUGACUCUCACCUUCUUCCCCAGCCGAUCGUUCAACACCACCUCCAAC